UUCUUAAUUUCUGAUUGGUUAUAUCGGUCGGUUUAUCAAUGCGUCCAUGUUUAAUUAAAUACAAUAUACCUAAUGUUUGUUGCAGAGUAGAAUAAUAACAUUAGAGCUUUUUUGACGUCGACUGUAUUUGUAUUUCCAGCCAUAACAUGAUUAUGUUUUCUGUCUGGAAUGAUAUCCAGUAGAUUGGGGGGUUUCUUUUGUAAUUUAAUUUUCCAUUUCAACUACAGUAAAGCCCCGCAUCAAAGAACCAGUGGGUUAAGAACCACCAGCCUGAAAUUUGGACAAAUAAGCACCCAAAAUACAAGAACCACUUCAGGAUUAUGUCUUUGAUCCGCAUCAUGCAUACAUGCAUUUUAUUUUAUCAAAACUAGUUUUAUAGUAUACAAUAAAAGGUUUAAAACUCUAAACCAGGAGGAAUCGUUUUUGACAGGAAAUUAAGAACCAGUUAAGAACCGCGUCAGCCUGAUUUCUUUCUAAGCACCCGUUAUAUUAUAAGAACCACGUCACUCUAAAAACACCCUGGUUAAAAAUUUCCUGGUUAAUCUAACCCUGUUUGGGGUAACUUAGUUUCCUGGCUAAAUUUCCUGGUUAAUUCAAUUAAACCACAAUCCUGGUUAACUUGAUCAUAGUCCUGACCAAUUUAACCAGUAUUCCUGGUUAAUUUAACCAGACUGUAUGGUUGAAUUAACCAGAUUACGGGGUGAUGGUAGGUGGAUUCUUAACCAGGAAAUCUUGGUCAACAGUCCAACUAACAUAACCUGGUUAUUUUAACCAUAUAGCCUGGUUAAAUUAACCAGGAAUCCUGGUUAAAUUGGCCAGGUCUAUGAUCAAGUGGACAAGGAUUGUGGUUAAAUUAACCAAGAGAUUUACCCUAAGAUUACCCAAAUAGGCAUUGUUGUAAAUAGUCGUUACAAUAGCAACGCGUUACUAAUUACAAAUUACGUUUUGAGUAAUUUUGAUGGUAAUUAAUUACUUCCUUUACUGAAGUAAUUUGUAACGUAAUUAAUUACAUUUUGAAGGCGUAACGAGUAAAAUUUUCUUAAAGUAACGUCACGUUACUUUUCAAUUUUACUUCAAUCUCUCACAACAUUCAUUGCACAUAAUCUAAAAAGUAGUAAAACGUUUAAUUUUCUAGGCUACCUGCCUUAAGAACUAGUGAACUACCGCGAAAACGAUGUUUGCAAAAUUGAAAUAUCUUUUCAAAAAAGCCUGCAAUAUGUGAAAUAUGCGGCGUGAGCUUUCACCAUUACUUCAUGUAAUUGAUAUGGUGUAUUAUGUCUUUAAUUUCCAGCCAAUUUUGCGUGAAAUGAUUUUACUCAAUUUAUUAUUGUGAAAG